CCCAGGUACAUUUUUGGGGUGCCAGGUGAGUUUUGGGGUCCCCAGGUGGGUUUUGGGGUCCCCAGGUACAUUUUUGGGGUCCCCAGGUGAGUUUUGGGGGUCCCCAGGUGAGUUUUGGGGUCCCCAGGUGAGUUUAGGGGUUCCCCAGGUGAGUUUUGGGGUCCCCAGGUGAGUUUUGGGGGUCCCCAGGUGAGUUUUGGGGUCCCCAGGUGAGUUUUGGGGUGGAUUUUGGGGUCCCCAGGUGAGUUUUGUGGUCCCCAGGUGAGUUUAGGGUCCCCAGGUGAGUUUUGGGGGUCCCCAGGUGAGUUUUGGGGUCCCCAGGUGUGAUUUUGGGGUCCCCAGGUGAGUUUAGGGUCCCAGGUGAGUUUUGGGGUCCCCAGGUGAGUUUUAGGGUCCCCAGGUACAUUUUUGGGGUCCCCAGGUACAUUUUUAGGGUUCCCAGGUGAGUUUUGGGGGUUCCCAGGUACAUUUUUGGGGUCCCAGGUGAGUUUUGGGGGUCCCAGGUGAGUUUUGGGGUCCCCAGGUACAUUUUUGGGGUUCCCAGGUGAGUUUUGGGGUUCCCAGGUGAGUUUUGGGGUCCCCAGG